CUACACUCUUUCCCUACACGACGCUCUUCCGAUCUCGUCGCGCGGCUCUCGGGGCUGCAAGUACGCGGGACAGGUGCGCGCGGUAACGCUCUUGAUCGGCGAGCAGCCGUCGGCAGUUCCGGAAAGAGUUUUCUUUUCUUCAUAAGGCACGCAGUCGCUGGAACCGGGUUGCCCGGAGAUAGCGACGAUGUCGCCGCAAAACGCCGCGUCUCCCGUGGUGUUCGGAACGCUCUCGACGGUCCGUGAAAAGCCGAGCUGCGCCGUAUAAAUUUGUGCUCGUUCGUACCGAUAUCCGCAGCAGGUCUCCAAGGUGAACAGCCUCUGGCCAAUUGAACAAUGCAGAUAAGGGAAGUCGGCAAAACGGAUCCGUACCUUCGGAACAAGGAUUGGCUCUAAGGGCUGAACCGGUCGGGCUGAUGCUUCGAUGCGUGUCUGGUGCGGUCGCUGGCUGCCGGUUGGAGGAGCGGUCCGUUCGCCCGGCGUUGGGCUCCCGUCGAUUGCUUGAGCGGCUCUGUCGCGUUGGGCGUCGGCGAUUCGGAUGCGCUUCGCCGGAGCGCGGUCCUUCUGAAGCCGCAGACGGUAACGAAGCCUGCACGCGGACGACUUCAGCUGUGUGUGCUUGUCGGAGAUCGGAAGAGCGGUUCAGCAGGAAUGCCGAGACCGACUUAGAACUGGCACGGACCCGAGGAAUCGGACUGUAUAAUUAAAACAAAGCAUUGCGACGGCUGGUGAUCGGUGAAGAAGAAAUACGCAUUUGGAGCGAAGAUCGAAGAUAUUUGAAGACAUUUCGAGGUAAUUUCCGCUGUGUAAACAAAGUCCUCAAGGCGAAAAUCUCACACCCGACGUUUUGUGUGCCCUUUCGAAGGAAUUGGUAAGCGAAUGAUGCAUGUUUUGCAUGCUCGCAAGUUUCCAGGGAUCGCGAGCGAUGAAAUUUUAUGUUUUAUUCGUUUUCUCCGAAAAUUUUUCCAUUUGUUAAGGUAUACUGUAACUUUGUAACAAUAUGGCUUAUAUGCGUUUUCUCGCUAUUGAUAUGUUCCCGCACCGCAUACUAACCCUGUUCUAUUCCUUAAAUUAAAAUUAAAAUGCUUGGUGUAGCCUAAUCUUGCGCAGUUAGCCUAUUCUCAAAAUGAACCAGAUAAAU
rnacentral:ncRNA from 1 species